rnacentral:rRNA from 1 species
UCGCUACUACCGAUUGAAUGGCUUAGUGAGCUCCACGGAUUGUUGCCUUCGUUGGGUUUCCAUCGUUAGGUUUACGAGAAGUGGAUCAAACUUGAUCAUUUAGAGGAAGUAA